rnacentral:rRNA from 1 species
CGCAAGCCUGACGGAGCAACGCCGCGUGUGGGAAGAAGGCUCUUGGGCUGUCAACCACUUUUCUCAGGGAAGAAGCCCUGACGGUACCUGAGGAAUCAGCCUCGGCUAACUCCGUGCCAGCAGCCGCGGUAAUACGGAGGAGGCAAGCGUUAUCCGGAAUUAUUGGGCGUAAAGCGUCCGCAGGGGGCACAUCAAGUCUGCUGUUAAAGGCUGGAGCUUAACUCCGGUAGAGCAGUGGAAACUGGUGUGCUAGAGGGCGACAGGGGUAGAGGGAAUUCCCAGUGUAGCGGUGAAAUGCGUAGAGAUUGGGAAGAACAACGGCGGCGAAAGCGCUCUACUGGGUCGCACCUGACCCUCAGGGACGAAAGCUAAGGUAGCG